rnacentral:rRNA from 1 species
CCUACGGGUGGCAGCAGUGGGGAAUAUUGCACAAUGGGGGAAACCCUGAUGCAGCGACGCCGCGUGAGUGAAGAAGUAUUUCGUUAUGUAAAGCUCUAUCAGCAGGGAAGAAAAUGAAGGUACCUUAGCAAGAAGCCCCGGCCAACUACGGGCCAGCAGCCGCCGUUAUACGUAGGGGGCAAGCCUUAUCCGGAUUUACUGGGGGGAAAGGGAGCGUAGACGGCCGGGUAAGUCUGGAGUGAAAGGCGGGGGCUCAACCCCGGGACUGCUUUGGAAACUGUACGGCUUGAGUGCAGGAGAGGUAAGUGGAAUUCCUAGUGUAGCGGUGAAAUGCGUAGAUAUUAGGAGGAACACCAGUGGCGAAGGCGGCUUACUGGACAGUAACUGACGUUGAGGCUCGAAAGCGUGGGGAGCAAACAGGAUUAGAUACCCCAGUAGUC